rnacentral:rRNA from 1 species
CCUACGGGUCGCACCAGUGGGGAAUAUUGCACAAUGGGCGCAAGCCUGAUGCAGCCAUGCCGCGUGUAUGAAGAAGGUCUUCGGGUCGUAAAGUACUUUCAGCGGGGAGGAAGGUGUUGAGGUUAAUAACCUUAGCAAUUGACGUUACCCGCAGAAGAAGCACCGGCUAACUCCGUGCCAGCAGCCGCGGUAACACGGAGGGUGCAAGCGUUAAUCGGAAUUACUGGGCGUAAAGCGCACGCAGGCGGUCUGUCAAGUAGGAUGUGAAAUCCCCGGGCUCAACCUGGGAACUGCAUUCGAAACUGGCAGGCUAGAGUCUUGUAGAGGGGGGUAGAAUUCCAGGUGUAGCGGUGAAAUGCGUAGAGAUCUGGAGGAAUACCGGUGGCGAAGGCGGCCCCCUGGACAAAGACUGACGCUCAGGUGCGAAAGCGUGGGGAGCAAACAGGAUUAGAUACCCCCGUAGUC